rnacentral:rRNA from 1 species
GACGAACGCUGGCGGCGUGCUUAACACAUGCAAGUCGAACGGAAAGGCCUGCUUUCCCUUGUGGAUUGCGGGUACUCGAGUGGCGAACGGGUGAGUAACACGUGAGUGAUCUGCUCCCAACUUGGGAAUAAGCCUGGGAAACUGGGUCUAAUUCCCGAUAGGACUGCAGGGUGGUGCCUGUGGUGGAAAACGAUUUUCUAGUGGUUGGGGAUGAGCUCGCGGCGUAUCAGCUUGUUGGUGGGGUAAUGGCCUACCAAGGCGGCGACGGGUAGCCGGCCUGGGAGGGGGGACGGUCGCAUUGGGACUGAGAUACGGCCCAGACUCCUACGGGAGGCAGCAGUGGGGAGUAAUGCGCAGUGAGCGGAAGCCUGAUGCAGCGAGGCCGCGUGGGGGAUGACGGGCUUCGGAUGGUAAACUCCUUGCGACCGCGAGGAAGCCACCUGGUUGGAGCGGUGGUGACGGUAGUGGUAGAAGAAGCACCGGCUAACUACGUG